rnacentral:rRNA from 1 species
UACGUAGGCAGCAAGCGUUGUUCGGAGUUACUGGGCGUAAAGGGUGCGUAGGCGGCUUUUUAAGUUUGGUGUGGAAUCUCCCGGCUCAACUGGGAGGGUGCGCCGAAUACUGAGAGGCUAGAGUGUGGGAGAGGAAAGUGGAAUUCCUGGUGUAGCGGUGAAAUGCGUAGAUAUCAGGAGGAACACCUGUGGUGUAGACAGCUUACUGGACCACUUCUGACGCUGAGACACGAAAGCGUGGGUAGCAAACAGG